GACGAACGCUGGCGGCGUGCUUAACACAUGCCAGUCGAACGGAAAGGCCCUGCUUUGGUGGGGUGCUCGAGUUGCGAACGGGUGAGUAACACGUGAGUAACCUGCCCUUGACGUUGGGAUAACUUCAGGAAACUGGGGCUAAUACGGGAUAGGAGCACCGGCUGCAUGGGGGGGGGUGGAAAGUUUCGGCGGUUGGGGAUGGACUCUCGGCUUAGCAGCUUGUUGGUGGGGUAGUGGCGUACCAAGGCUUUGACGGGUAGCCGGCCUGAGAGGGUGACCGGCCACAUUGGGACUGAGAUACGGCCCCGACUCCUCCGGGAGGCAGCAGUGGGGAAUAUUGCACGAUGGGCGGAAGCCUCAUGCAGCAACGCCGCGUGCGGGAUGACGGCCUUCGUGUUGUAAACCGCUUUCGCCUGUGACGAAGCGUGAGUGACGGUAAUGGGUAAAGAAGCACCGGCUAACUACGUG
rnacentral:rRNA from 1 species